rnacentral:lncRNA from 1 species
AUGCCCACAGGAAUCGCUGAAACUUCACCAAUCAAACAUGAAAACUAUUUUGGAGGAGAGUAUAAGACAUACCCAAUUUGGAGCUCUGAACUUCAAACAAUUGCUCAGUUGUCAAGCCAUGUGGAGCAGCCACACGUAGCCAUGGUUCUCAAGAGCCACAGCUGAGCACUCAGCAAAUAGUCAGUCAUGCGAAUGAGCCAUCUGGGACAUCCAGCCCAGAUGAGCCUUCAGAUGAUUGCAGCACCAGCCAGCAUAAGAGCACAAUUGUGGAAGGAAUCUAGGUAAAAACUGCCUGGAUAAGCCCUUCCCAAAUUCUUGAGGCAUAAAGCAAUGAGCAAAAUAAAAUGUCUGUUUUAGACACACAUUGCAGUUUUAAAGUUAUUUAUUAUGUGGCAAUAGUAACUGGACCAAAAGUCAGCCCCUAGUUGUGUGAAAACUCAAGAGAGAAGUUUUAAAAUGGAUGAUAGUUUGGACUUUUAAUAUUAUACUAGACUGGUGUUUAUAUUAUUUCAAAAAACAAACCAUUCUCUCAUAUGUGAAAACUAAAGAGUGUUGAUCUCAUAGAAGUAAAAAGGACAGAAUAUACUAGAGGCUGGGAAGUGUAGGGUAAAGAGAAGGAUAGUAAGAACAUUGUUAAAUGAUACUAAACUAAAGCUAAAUAGGAGGGAAAAGUUCUAGUAUUCUAUGCCACUGUAGGAUCACUAUAGUUAACAAAAAUGUUAUAUAGUUUCAAAUAGCUAGGAGGAAGAUAAUGAAUGGUCCCAACCCAAAGAAAUGAUAAGUGUUU